rnacentral:rRNA from 1 species
CAGCCGCCGCGGUAAUUCCGGCGGCCCGAGUGGCGGCCACUAUUAUUGGGCCUAAAGCGUCCGUAGCCGGGCUGGUAAGUCCUCCGGGAAAUCUGGUCGCUUAACGAUCAGACUUCCGGAGGAUACUGCUGGCCUAGGGACCGGGAGAGGCCGAGGGUAUUCCCGGGGUAGGGGUGAAAUCCUGUAAUCCCGGGAGGACCACCUGUGGCGAAGGCGCUCGGCUGGAACGGGUCCGACGGUGAGGGACGAAGGCCAGGGGAGCGAACCGGAUUAGAUACCCGGGUAGUCCUGGCUGUAAACGAUGCGGACUAGGUGUCGGGCAAGCUAAGGGCUUGUCCGGUGCCGCAGGGAAGCCGUUAAGUCCGCCGCCUGGGGAGUACGGCCGCAAGGCUGAAACUUAAAGGAAUUGGCGGG